CAUCAUCCUUAGGAGACCGUUCCUCACCACCGUUAAAGCAAUCAUCUACAUUGGAACUGGAGAAGUCCACAUGCACUUCCCCUCUGAGAAGGUACGCUGCUAUUUUACUGACCCUAACUAUAUAGUUGAAGACUCUAAGCAGGUCAGGGCAAGAAGAAGAUGACGCAACCGCAACCAAAGGAGGCAAAUCAUCAAGGACGGAUGGGCAGACUAUGAAGGAGAAGUCGUAAGGUCUGAAGACAUACAGCUUGAACAGAACUGUCCUAAGGAGACCGUAGCACCGAGUCAGGUGUGGAGAGAGAAGAUAGUUAUACAUGAAGACCAAGCGCUGCCGGAACCACCGACUACGCCAUCCAGCGAAUUCCACGACAACUAAGAAAACGGAGAGUCCCGUUCGGAGGACUUAAAAGCACCAAACGCCUUGCCAAGAGGUAAACUUGGUAGUUAUCUUUUUCCUUUCAAAUUAUUUAAAAUAGUUUGCUUAGUUAAUCAGGUUCACAUCAUCUUAAAAAGAAAAUAAAAAUGUUAAAAAUAGUAAGCCCCAUGUGAGUAUGCUCAUGGCAUAAAACCCAUAAGUACAUUCACUGUGGUGGCGUAAAAAUAAAUAUAUCUUCCUGUCCUAUAAAAAUGAAAAUAUAAAUAAGAUUAUGAUCCUACUAAAGAGAGUAACAUUUAUUGAGGAGGCUCAACAUGAUAAAGGCUAGAUAUUUAUGCUAACACUUAACUAGUUCCACAAAGCUUUGUUGUCUAUUUGAGCUCCACAGAAUUUAAGGAUCAAAGAAGACUAGCAGACGGAGGACAUCCUAAUCGCUAUCAGGGUGCUACCGACAUUCAAAUACACCUCCGCCACCUGCUAGCUACAUCAGAAGAAAUUACAUCAAAAUCCAGCUUGGGGGAGAGCACCCCCAUUUAUCCAGCUAAGUAUUCUACUCACGUUUAUACUUUACUCUAUUAAUAAAAAGAUGCAUAAUCAUAAAAACCCAAAUAAAGAUUUUGUGCUUAUAUAUAUAUCUUUGCUUAGCUUGCUAAAUAAAUAAAUAAAUAAAGUUUGCUAUGAACCCUCAUGAUAAGCUCUCACAUGGAAAUGAUGAAUAGUUGCUCUGCCAUGAUUAGUUAUCAAAAUUGAAAUCUCUCUCAAGUUUAGGCAUAACUGUUAUUAAUUAAGAUUUGCUCUAAACCUGAACUUGUGGAGAGAGUACUUGAUCUAAAGUCUAAGUCGUUAACGGAUAUGAUAUGGGAAGGUUGAGCUGCUGUUUAUCUGUUCCUAGAGAUGCUAGAAUUCUGGAGAAUUUUAUCUUUGAAAAUCUUUAAAAUGUUGCAUGAUGAGUUCCUGUAUGAUGAGAGUUUAAAUUCCUACCACAGCCAUAUAUACAUGCUUGCUAGACUAUGAACCACACAUUUACUUUACUACUUAUGAGCAUUGAGUGUGGUCAAGCUGUGUAGACCCUUAGGAGCUUGUCAUGUGGUUAAAAUCAAGAUUCACUUGCACGUUCACUCAUACAUGCUGCUUCUACUCCGGAAGUACGCAUCCACAUAUAUCCAUCCAUUUCCAUCUCGAGAACCACCCAAAAAUAUUCUACUCCUAAUCCGGGAGAGAAUAGCCAAAAAUAUUUCUAUUUUUCCCCUAUGAAAUAAAUGCUCAAGUUAUCUUGUUACUACCACUUGCGAUAUUAUCUCAUGAGAUGAGUGCUCUAAUAAAAAAAAGAAAAAAAAAAGAGAUACGAGGAAAUAAAAAGGGGCAAGUGCCCGAAACCUCGAAAAAAAAAGUGAGACGAGAGGUAAAAAUAGACAAGUGUCCGAUAGUAGAAUUAGGGGUACAAGAUACCCACCUGAGAGAAAAGAAAAAAAAGAAAAAAAAAGAAAAUAUAGAGCAUCUCAUUCUCCUCAAAAAGUUUCAAAAGAGCAAGAAAGGUAUGUAUCCCCUCAAAAGAGCACAAGUAGAAUUAGACUUUCACCAUUGUUUUCACCAUUGUUAUCACCAUCAUUACCAUACACCAUUCAUUCGCCACACAUUCACAUCUUGAUUUGACUUAUUGACUUGUUCUUCUGGAUCCAUAGUUUGACUAUGCAAUAAAUGUCUUGUAAGUAUGUAUUAGCUGUCUCCCACCUAUGAGCUCCAGAUAUCAAAAGCCUUAUUAGAGUAGGGUGAGAGAGAAGGCAAUGUCACUAUGCCUUAUACUACAAAUACCACAUACUUUGAGAGAAGGCAUAUACCAUUACUGCCUUGGUAAGGAUCCAGAAAUACCUCAAAAGAGAGACUAGAGAGAGUCAUACAAGGAAUCUCUGAGUUUUAUUUGAAAAUCUGCAAAAACUCCAGAACUAUAGCUGAUCAAGAAUAAGAGACAUGGUGCUUGACUAGACCGUUCUAUCUUUUAACUACUCAAGACAGAAGUGUCGGUUACAAGUCCCAUGGUGAAAGGUAAAUGAGUAAGUUUUAAGUCUUAACAGUUCACUCUAACCAGAGAUGAGAUCUUGUUUAAACGCAUGUGUAUCCUUAAGUUAUGAAACCACUGCAGAAACUCUUGAGUUAAUCUUUACUCAGGGACGAGCAAAGGUUAAGCUUGGGGGAGCUUGUUGACGGUCCUCAAUGCACAUAUUUAACCAUCAAUUAAUCAUAGAAAAGUAUCCAAAUGCAACCAACACCUAGACUUAGGGUUUUAUCUGAUAGAAUUCCACGAGUUUGGUGUUUGUCUAUUUCUGCAGGGGGUUAUCAGGAAAUAUGGAGGAAAGGCCCACACGUCGGGUUUACAUAGAGAUAUUAACGUGCCGAGCAAUUUUCUAUCAUCUAGAAGACUCCAGAAGCCACGGGACCGAAGCGGAAGCCGAGAGGCCUUAGGGACAGGGCGCCCGCCCUAGUCUUGAGGGCGCCCGCCCUCCCCCCUGGACCAAUCAGGGUGAAGUUCGGGGAUCAUGCUCCACCGACCUAAUACUUCAAGGAAAACCACACGAUCAAUGUCGGUUUGAUCCGACGGCCCAGAUUCACUUGAAGGGACUAUAAAACUAGACCCCCCUGGCCCCUGGAGAUCAUACCUCUUCUACAGAAUCAAAGCUAGGGUUUCAAUUCUUCAUCCAAGUAGAGAGGAUCCCUCUAGUUCUUCUAGUUCUACCUCUAGUUCAUCUAGAUCUAGUUCUAGUUCAUCUAGUUCUAGUUCUAGUUCUUCUAGUUCUAGUUCUAGUUAGUUUUAGUUGUAAUCUAGAAAAUAGGGAGAGAGAAGAGGAGAGCGGAGGAGGAGCCGGAUCUGUCGGAUCUUCCUCAACAUUAUACUUUUGCAGCAACUGGUUCGUUCUUCAUCGUUAUCCAGGUUCUUCAAUUCAUAAUUCCUGAGUUCUCUAAUUACUUUUAUUUACAUUCAAGUUAUUUAUUGGAUUCCCGCUUGCAUCAAGUGCUCUAGUCUUUAUAACGCUAGAGUAGUAAUUAAUAGAUUAGACGUGGUGUUUAGUCUUGCGAUUACCUGGAAUUGCACCCAAUCCCACGGAUUGUUGUGGUAGCCCUAGGGUAGUGACAGCCCUAACGGUCGACGUAUUCCACCACGUUCGGAUUGGUGUUUGUAGGACCGUAGUCAGACCUUCCUAGCCCCCUUCUCAUCUCUUUCUGUGGUUAGUGCUCUGAUGUCCCGAUAUAGAUAAUCUUGAAGUAAUUCUUGAUUCUUAGAUCAACUAGAGAACUCUCAGGAAACUUCCUCUCUUCCCAUCAAAAAUAAUUAUAUAGUUAUCCUUGGGCGAUCUUGGAUCUUAAUUAGUACACUCACGUUCUCUGUGCAAAAUCGAUACUCUGGAAUACUCCCGGGUGAAGGCUACAUCGGUAUCCGUGCGCUUGCGGAUUUUUCUGUUUGCGUUUAAAAUACCCAACAAUGCUUAUGUUAUGCAUGUGAUUAAUGCAACCAUAACACUGGGGUGUUACAUUUGGCGUAUCGACAAAACAAUUUUUGGGUUUCAUGGUGCAUCAGAGGGGGAUUGAGAUUAGGAGGAGAUCUGUUGAUGCAAUCAACAAAGUAGUUGCUCCUACCGAUAAAACUGAGCUUCAGUCCUUGAUCGGCAAGAUUAAUUUUAUCAGACGAUUUAUAUCCAAAUUGUCGAGUAAGAUUCGAGCUUUCAGCCAUUUGCUUAAAUUGAAAGCCAAUCAAGAAUUUGUAUGGGGAAAAGAGCAACAAUUGGCUUUGGAUGAAAUUAAGAAUUAUUUGGCAAAUCCUCCAGUAUUGGUUCCACCUCAGCAUGGAAAGCCUUUUAGGUUAUAUUUGUCGACCGAUGAUGCGGUUAUCGGUUCAGCUCUCAUUCAAGAAUUUGAAGGAAAAGAAUGUGUAAUUUAUUACUUAAAUAGGAGAUUGGUAGAUGCGGAGACAAGGUAUUCGGCUAUUGAAAAAUUAUGCUUGUGCCUGUCUUUUCUUGUAUUAAGUUGAGACAUUAUUUGCUAUCGGCCGAAUGUACUGUCAGAUGCAAUGAUGACAUGGUCAGAUACAUGUUGUUGAUGCCGAUUAUGAGUGGUAGAAUCAGCAAAUGUAUACUAGCAUUAUCAGAAUUUGACUUACGUUAUGAAUCGGCUAAGGCAGUUAAGGGACAGAUCGUGGCCAAUUUUGUUACUCAGCAUUGUGGUUUGGUGGGUGCUUUGGAGAUUGCUCAUUGGACACUCUUCUUUGAUGGAUCUACAUGUGAUCAAGGGGCAGGUAUCGGCAUAGUAUUGAUUUCUCCCUGGGGAAAGAAAUUUGAAUUUUCUUUGCCGAUUGUUGCUACAUCAACGAACAAUCAGGCUGAGUACCAAGUCCUAAUCAAAGGAUUAGAGUUAUUAAAGGAAGAUCAUGCCGAUGCUGUCAAAAUCUUUGGAGAUUCUAUGCUUGUCAUAAAUCAAUUGGCUGGGAUUUACGAGUGCCGAAGUGAGAUUUUGAUAGCAUAUUACGAAAGGUGUUUACAAUUGUUAAAGGAAUUCAAGGAUUUCCGCUUGGAGCAUAUUCCUCGAUUACAUAAUGAAGAAGCUAAUCGGUUAGCUCAACACGCCUCAGGAUAUCAACCUAUCUUGGAAGUGCUAUCGGUAAUCAGUAUCGAUGACUGGAGAAAAGAAAUUAUUGAUUAUCUAAAAGAUCCAUCUAGGAAAGUUGAAAGACGUGUUAGAUUUCAAGCUACUAAAUAUGUACUCCUUGAGGAUGAAUUAUAUUAUCCAACAAUAGAUGGAGUGUUGCUUAGAUGUUUAAGUAAUGAUGAAUCCAAAAACUUGAUGGGUGAAAUUCAUGAGGGGGUAUGUGGAGCACAUCAAUCGGCUUUUAAAAUGAAGUGGAUGAUUAGAAGGAAUGAAUAUUAUUGGCCGACUAUCCUUGAGGAUUGUUUCAAAUAUUUCAAAGGGUGUCAAGGAUGUCAGAAGUUUGGUAAUAUUCAAAGGGCACCUGCGUCAGCUAAGAAUCCUAUUAUUAAACCUUGGUCAUUCUGGGGUUGGGCUAUUGAUCUCAUCGGUCAAAUUUAUCAACCAUCGAGUAAAGGGCAUAAGUUUAUCCUUGUUGCCACUAAUUAUUUCACUAAGUGGGUUGAGGCUAUCCCUUUUAGGAAAGUAACAUCGACCAAUAUGAUUGAUUUUGUGAAGGAACAUAUUGUUUACCGAUUUGGCAUUCCUCAAACAAUCACUACCGAUCAAGGUACUAUGUUUACAUCAGGAGAGUUUGAUGAAUUUGCAAUCGGUAUGGGGAUUAAGGUGAUGAAUUCUUCUCCUUACUAUGCUCAAGCCAAUGGAUAGGCCGAAGCUUCCAACAAAGGGAUUAUUAAGCUUAUUAAACAGAAGAUUGAGGAAAAUCCUAGGCGAUGGCAUACUCUGUUAAAUAAAGCCUUAUGGUCAUGUUGGAUGGCGUGUCACGGUGCAACCAAAGUGUCACCUUAUCAAUUGGUAUAUGGACAUGAUGCAGUACUACCUUGGGAAAUUAAAACUAGUUCUAGGUGGAUAUUUUCUCAGGAUCAAUUAACUACUGCUGACUAUACCACUCUGAUGAAAAAUGAGUUGGAAGAUUUAGCAGGACAUCGGUUAAGAGCUUUAAUUAGCAUAGAAGAAAAUAAAAAAGAGAGUGGCUAAGUAGUAUGAUAAAAAGGUAAAAUCCAAGGAGUUUGCUGAUGGGGAUUUGGUCUGGAAGUUAAUUCUACCAAUUGGGACUAAAAGUUCAAAAUUUGGAAAAUGGUCUCCUAAUUUGGAAGGUCCUUAUCGGAUAAGUCGAUCUGCCCCAGGCAACGCUUAUAUUUUAGAAAGUCUCAAAGGAGUUGAAUUCCCCAGGGCAUUAAACGGAAAAUAUUUAAAAAGAUACUACCCCAGUAUCUAGGUUGAUGCAUAAAAGUUUAAGUGCCGAUACCAGUCCUAUCGGCUGAACAAAAUGACAAUGUAUCUGGAUCAACGCAUUGGAAGUUUUGGUGCCAAUAACAAUCCUAUCGGCUGGAUCAAAUGCUGAUGUUUUCAAAAGAACUGAUAAGCCAUACUGCCAAUGAAGAGAUUUACAAGUUUAACAAAGUUUGGAUAGCCGAUAUCGCACGCAGGCUAAUUUGAUUAGCUUCCUCUAUCUCUUUGGUAUCUUCAUCGGCUGAGCCUUCCACUGGUUUCAAUCUCUUCUUUAUUUGCAAUGCCUUGCGGGCUUGGGCAUCCCUCUCCUGCUGAAGAUCUCUGAGUACGUCGGGUAGUUGACUUUCCUCCUAUUGAGCUUGGGCCAAAGCUUCUUCUACUUGUUUGAGUUCAGCAAGCAGAGCCUCUCUCUUUGCCGAUAAAUCAGAGAUUUUCUAUUUUAGUUCAACACCUAAGGAUUGCAAAAUGUCGAUGCUCUUAUGCUUCUCAUCGGCAGCACGCUUCACUUGCAAAAUCUCUUCUUUGAGUUGGGCGUGGGCGGUUCUAUCUGCAAGGCGCUGAACGGCCUUUUGAUACUAAAGUUGGCGGCUCUCCAGAUGGGUGGCUUGAAAAAGUAUCUCCACAACAUCGGCAGGAAUCUUAUCGCGAAGACCCUUAAAGAUGGUUUUGGCCAGAUCAGAGUCAUCUACUAGCAGAGUUGUAUCCUGCUGCAAUAGAGCUAGUAAAUUUUCUAGCUUGGAUUUGAUCUCUACCGGUGCAAUUCCGAGCGCCAUUGAAGAACUUGCCUCUUCACUAUCAUCAUCAUAGAUGUCGAUGGCAAAGGAGAACAGGCUAUCAGGAGAGUCUUGUUCCUAGAAGCAGAGGAAAAUAAAUUAACUAGAGUUAAGUACCGAUAAUACAAUGUCUAGUGGAUCGGGUAAGUUUACUUGUUUCAGAGCAAUUUCUUGUCUCUGACUUGGAGAUGUGGCUUGCACUAUGACUUGAUCGGUUGGGGCUGCUAGUGGAAUAUCUUCAACUGAAAUUGCCAAAGGUGAUGAUGGUAUUUAUAAAGGGUCCAUCGGUAAUAAUUUUAUGAUCGGUACUUUACCUUGAGGAGAGAUGAUGAUCGUCUGUUCAGGAGGAACGGCCGAUGAAGUACCUACGUCAACUGGAUCGGUGACCUGCUCAGAUACAUCGACCAGGUCUGCUUGCGUCUGGGGCACUGGAUGAGGUGGAGAAGAGGGUGCUGCUUGGAUCUGGGGUUGUCACACCCAUAUUUUAAGAACAAAAUAGGAUGCAUAAAAGACUCAUAUGUGCCCCAGGAAUAGUCGCACACAUAAGUAGACAAAUCUCAAAUGUACCAUCGCAGUGUUUAUUACAUAGCAGAACAUAAUAAAUCAUAUAGUCUUAUACAUAAAUGAUAGCAAGAUGUAAACAACGCUCUCGACGGAAGCUCCACAUAGGGACACUAUUGACUGGUUGACUCCAAACCUAGUACUCAUAACGGUAGUCCUCAUUCCAAUCAUCAUCAUUAGCAUAACCUGGGUGUUGGGAAAUUGCAAGAGUGAGCACAUAUCGUACUCAACAAGUAUAACCAGGGGUUCAUGAGGCUCAAAUAGCUGACGCUGGUUUGACUUUAUUUAGCUUUUAAUAGUGGAUAGCAUAUUCAUAAUUUAAAUAGCAAUUUUCAAGGUAGCAUAAAUAAUCCAUUAAUCACAUGAUCAAGUGUAAGCAUAAUUAAUCUCAUAGCAUAAAUGAUAAUCAAAUGAACAUAAUAACUUAACAAGCUCAUCGUCGUCGUAGCAAGAACCCCCAAGGCCGCUCAUAACCGUAAGCAUGGCUAGUAUACCAGUUUUAACACCCUGCAGAGGUUGUACAUCUUUACCCAUGAGUCAUGAUUUACCCUUUCGCCCGAGGUAGCUAGUCUCUUCACCCCCUUCCUAGGGAGGUCGGCAGGGAUCACUAUGAAGCCUUUCAAAAGUUUGUCUAACAUGUUAGGGCCGCAAGGUUUCCUUUGCGCGCAGAUAUAGAUACCCCCUUCCGAAUGGCACAAUGACGCGCAACCUAUACACAUAGGGAUAGGGGCUCGCACCCAAAACGGUUCAGCCCCUCCGCCCUUUCGGGUCAUGCUGAGCUAAAGCCACAGCCAUUAUAGCCCUCAUGGUUGCACUGUUGUCCCGGUGAUCACUUACAGACAAGAUCUCAUAUAGUUAUUUGUCAUCAUUUAACGUUCAUUGCAUAGCUAUUAAUCAUCUUACAAGAUCAUGGAUUAUAUCAAGCACUAGCACAUCAGCACCAAAUGCAUAUCAAGUAGGUAACAAGGAAUCCAGGUAACAAUCAUCUAUGAUUUUGCUAAGGUCGACAAUGUGAUAGCAUGCAUAUGAUAUAUAUGUGUAGUUAUAAGUGAAUAGGUAACAAGGAUGAUCCCAAGUUAUACUUGCCUUGAUCAAAGCUCUCCUGAGCCUACUGGUCUUCAAAAGCUUGGUCUUGAUCACCAAUGUACGGCUCACCGUCUAUUUCCAAACAUCAAUCAACAACAUGCAAUCCAAUGUAGACAAUCAUACACAAGGCAAACAAGCUAUAAUUAGAACAUUACACCAACUGUAAGAAAUCAAAGAUAAAAUUUUAUGAAAAUAUUCUACGCAGCGCUACGAUCACACAAACGUAAAGUUCACGAAAAUCGGAAUUAAAACGUAGAAGAUAUGAAUUUUCUAAGAUUUCCUAUAGAGAAAUAAUUAACUAAAUGCUACUGCAGAAAUAAAAAGUUUCAAAACAGUAAACUAAAACUUCUAACAUGUAGAGCUCGUAAAUAUGAAUCUAACGAAAUUUGAAUGGACAAAAACAGAGUUGAAAUGAAUAUUUUAUGAGGAAAAUAAACCCAAUGGCAAAACUGUAAAUACUGAAAAACGCCUUUUUCCUCAAACCGACUAUAAGCUUUUAGAAUCAAAACACGUAAUCUCCUCUAGGGCACCAUGGACUGCGGGUCGAUUUCCAAAUUCACCAGGGGAUCUUUAUGAAAAAGUGCAGCGAAGGGGUAUGUUCUGUUUUGGGCCCUUAGAUCUUGAUCCAACGGCUCGGGCGCGUCCAGGGGGCCAGUGGCGGCGGGCCGGCCGGAGUUGCGCCUCCCCGCGGCGGCGCCAUGGGAGUGCUCGCCGGAGUCCACCGAUUCCUUGAUUCUGAGCGCCAAUCAACGAAAGAAAAACACCGGGAGGGCGAGAAGCUCACCGCGACCUCGCUGGGACCCUUUGCUUGGUCCGAGAGGUGAUGAAAACAGCUCGCGGCGUGCGGCGGUGGACUUGGCUCUCGGCGAGAUUCAAACCGUGCAUGGGCUGGCGUCUAGGGCUUGGUUUCCGUGGCGAGCGUGGAAAACAACAUGCGGGGCGAUGCUGGGGUUUAAAUAGGGGUCGAUAUGGCAAGAAAUCUCAGAGUUUUCGGGUUGGAAAGUUAUUAGCUCGGGUCGGUUAUCCCCAACUGAGCCCUGUUCGUCCUCGGCGCGAGAAGGAAGAGGAACGGCGCCCGCCAGGUGGGGUCGCCUCGCCAGCGAGAGGGAGGUGGGGCCUGCUGGUCAGAGAGAGAAGAGGGGAAGGGAGCUGCGCUGGGCCGCGGCUGGCCUGCUCGGCUGGGCCGGGAUGGGCCGUGCGCUGGGGGACAGGGUGCUGGGCUGCGGCCUACGGCCAAGACGAGAGGGGAGAGGCGUUUGGCUGGGGUUUUCCUUUUUUUUCUUUUUUUAAUCUCUUUUCUAUAGCUUUUGAGAAGAGUUUUUAAAUCCUUUUGGAGAUAAACAGAAUACAUAGACAAAAAGCAAACAAGCGAGUAAAUAAAUAAAUUAAUUUCAGCAUGAAUGCACAACCUUGUUUCUAAACUUAUAAUGAAUUUUAAUUUUGACAAAAACAUUUUAUUUACUAGAUUAAAUGCCCACAAAAUUGCUUAAAUAAAUCAAAUUAAAUCCUAUUAUUUGAAAACCAAAUUUUGGGUGUUACAAACUCUACCACCCUUAAAAGAAUUUCGUCCUCGAGAUUGAAAGGUGCUUACUCAAACAAGUAUGAUUAUGAUUUCCUCAGGUCAUCCUCUCUUUCCCAAGUUGCCUCUGCUUCCGAUUACCAAUUCCACUGCACUUUGCACAUUCUGAUGACCUCACUUCUGGUGACUCUCUCAGUUGUCUCCAAUAUUCUGACCGGAUAUUCUUCAUAAGUGAGAUCACCUUUAACAGAAAGCUCUUCCAAUGGUAUUUGCUCCUCUGGUACACGCAAACACUUCUUAAGUUGUGACACAUGGAACACAUCAUGCACACCAGAUAAACUUUCAGGAAAUUCUAAUUGAUAUGCUACUUCUCCACGCCUUUCCAAUACUUUAAACGGACCAACAUACCUUGGAGCUAGCUUUCCCUUCAUAUUAAACCUCUUCACACUCCUCAUUGGUGAUACUUUCAGGUAUACAUAAUCACCCACCUCAAAAGCCAGCUCUCUCCUACGCGUACCUACAUAUCUUUUCUGACGAGAUUGAGCAACUCUCAAGUUAUCCCGAAUGGACCGCACUUGUUAUUCUGCAUGUCUAAGCACAUCUGUCCCAAACACCUGAGUUUCUCAUGUCUGAUUCCAAAACAAAGGUGUCCUGCACUUCCGACCAUACAGUGCCUCGAACGGUGCCAUCUUAAGACUUUGCUGAUAGUUAUUGUUGUAGGAGAAUUCUACAUAUGGCAAACUCUUGUCCCAACUAGUUCCAUACUGCAAAGCACAAGCUCUCAACAUAUCCUCCAGUAUCUGAUUGAUCCUCUCAAUCUGUCCAUCUGUCUGUGGAUGAUAUGCUGUACUAAAAUUUAACUUUGUUCCCAAGGAAUCAUGCACUGCUUUCCAAAAGUGAGAUGUGAAUUGAGUACCCCUAUCUGACACAAUCUUCUUAGGUACUCCAUGCAAACAAACAAUUCUCUGCAUAUAUAACUCUGCCAGUCGGUCUCCACUAUAUGAAGUUUUGACAGGUAUGAAAUGAGCAACUUUGGUUAAACUAUCCACUAUCACCCAUAUUGAGUCAUACCCUCCUUGUGUAUGAGGUAAACCCACUAUGAAAUCCAUGCCUACUUCUUCCCACUUCCAUUCAGGAAUCUUCAUUGGUUGCAACAGUCCAGCUAGCCUCUGAUGUUCAGCUUUCACUCGCUGACAAGUGUCACACAAAGCAACAUACUCAGCUACAUCUCUCUUUAAACCAUAGCACCAGUACUUCUGUUUCAGAUCUAGAUACAUCUUAGUGCUACCAGGGUGAAUGGAAUAUGCUGACUCAUGAGCCUCUCUCAGAAUCAUAUCAUGAAUAGCCUUCACUUCAGGAACACAUAUCCUUUUUCCAAACCACAAUACACCAUUGUCAUCUAUUCUGAAUCCUGGUGCUUUGCCUAGUACCACAUUCUGUGCUAUCUCCUUUAGUUUCUCAUCUUCCAACUGUCCUUUCAAUAUCUCUUCCUCUAGAGUAGGAGUGACCUCAAUUUCCAUCGCAUUUACUACAAUUCCCCAGAUCAAAUAUGCAAAUUCAGCACACAACUCCUCAGAUUCAGGUGUCGCCCGAAGCUCAUUAGCAUAUUUCUUCUUGCUAAGUGCAUCGGCUACGACGUUCACCUUUCCAGGAUGAUAAUGCACUUCCAAAUCAUAAUCCUUUAUCAGUUCCAACCAUCUUCGUUGCCUCAGAUUCAGAUCUGUCUGGGUGAAGAUAUACUUUAAACUCUUAUGAUCAGUAUAUAUGUCACUCUUAUGCCCAAUCAAAUAGUGUCUCCAAAUCUUCAAUGCAUGCACCAUAGCUGCUAACUCUAGAUCAUGAGUAGGAUAAUUCAGUUCAUGUUUCCUCAACUAUCUAGAUGCAUAAGCAACAACUCUACCUUCUUGCAUAAGGACACAACCCAAACCCAGACGAGAAGCAUCACAAUAGAUAGAGAAACUCUUACUCAGAUCUAGCAAUACCAACACAGGUGCAGUAGUCAAUCUCUUCUUAAACUCCUCAAAACUAGCUUGACACUUAUCAAACCAUACAAACUUAGCAUUCUUCUCCAAUAGAGCAGUCAUAGGCUUUGCAAGCUUUGAGAACCCUUCAAUGAAUCUACGAUAGUAACCAGCUAAACCUAGAAAACUAUGAAUUUCACUUACAUCUGUAGGUGGUUUCCAAUUCAGCACAUCUUUCACCUUACUAGGAUCCAUUGCAAUACCACCAUGAGAGACAACAUGACCAAGAAAAGAAACUUCUUCCAACCAAAACUCACAUUUACUACGCUUAGCAUACAGCUUAUGUUCUCUAAGUUUCUGUAAGACCAAUCUCAGAUGUUCAGCAUGUUCUUCCUUGGUUUUAGAGAAUACCAGAAUAUCAUCAAUAAAGACCACCACAAACUUAUCAACAUACUCCAUAAAUACUUUAUUCAUCAUGUAGAUAAAGUAAGCUGGUGCAUUGGUCAAACCAAAAGACAUAACUGUAUACUCAUACAACCCAUACCUUGUUGUGAAAGCUGUCUUUGGUAUAUCUGAAUUCUGAAUCUUCAAUUGAUGAUAACCAGAACGCAAAUCAAUCUUAGAGAACACACAAGUGUUGACGGUCCUUAAGUAUCAAAUUUAAUUAUCAAAUAAAUAAAGAAAAGGAUCCAAAUGAAAUCAAGAUCUAGUCUUAGGGUUUUAUCUGACAGAAUUCCACGAGUUUUGGUGUUUGUCUAUUUCUGCAGGGGGUUAUCAGGAAAUAUGGAAGAAAGGCCCACAUGUCAGGAUUACGUAAAGAUAUUAACGUGCUGCGCAAUUAUCUUACAUCUAGAAGACUCCAGAAGCCACGAGACCGAAGCGGAGGCGAAACGGGGCCUGACCCUGGGCGGCCGCCCAGUUGGUCAGGGCGCCCGCCCUGCCCCUGAGUCCAAUCAGGACUCUACUUUGCGGGAGAUCUCCACCGACCUAAAGGAUGAAUCUAAACCGUACAAUCUAUGUCGGUUUGAUCCAAGGGUCCAUAUUCACUUGGAGGGACUAUAAAACCAGACCCCCUGGCCCCUGGAGGAGGGAGCCUCUCAACCCUAAUUCAUUGUUCCAUCAAGGGAGAAGAAGCCUCUGAUCAAGAUUAGAGCCACCACAUCAAUUAGAUAUCUAGAUUAGCAUAGCUACAUAGGAUUAGAACUAGAAGGAGUCAAUCUUCGAUUGGUUUCCGGCUCUGUCAAGAGGAUUCUUGGUAAUUCUCUAAUUGUGCUUCUAAUUGCUUUCUAAUUAUCUUUGUUUUUCAAUAUUAUGAAUAUGACUUUGUUCUACUUCAAUAUAUUGCUUAUGACUUUGCUCUACUUGUUUAUAUUCAAGAUUAUAUUGUUCUUAGUUUAUCAUGGUUAUGUACUUGGCUUAGUUAGAUACGAUCUAUAUACAUGCUUAGGAUCAUAUAGCGUUUAUCAAUCGGAUCCAUGGGUAAAUGAUAGAUAUUGUGUAGGCGUGGUGCUUAUACCGUAUUUAUCUGCGAUUGUACCCAAUAUGCCAGAUCGUGGGGUGGUUCGUGAUAGUGACAGCUUCAUUGAUUCUUAUAUAGUCCCCCUCUCGUGUAUUGGGCUGGCAGAGCAACAUUAUUAUAGGGGAGUGAUUGCUAUGUUUCUCAUAUUCCUUGCUAAUAUCACUAUGCAUGGGCGUAGUCUUGUCUCACAAUGAUUGCUAAGUAUGCUUGCACUAACUAUAAUAAUGCUAGACUAUAUAGUUAAGAAUAACUUAGGGAAUAUUCUUGUAGUUCAUUCUAAUACCAUGCUAAUGACUUUCUAGAGUAUCUAAUUGAGGUGCUUAUCAUAUUUAUUAUGUGGCUAGAUCAGAUUAGUUAUCCUUGUCACUAUUAUUAUUUCAUAUAUCUUUUAUGUGACACUUAUCCCUGUAUGAAGAGUUAGAUAUAAUGUUCUCAAUUAUACAUGCAAUGAUAGAUGCUCAAUCUCAUAUUCUAUUCUGUAAUCAAUAUUGAUGAUUGCUAAUCCCUUCCCAGUGGUAAAAAUAUAAAUAACGAUACCUGGAAUACUUCCCGGUUAAAAUGCUGCAUCGGUAUUAAUCUGUGCGCUUGCAGAUCCCAUUCAUUAUUUAUUUAGAAGAGCAAUUGCAUAUUUCAAUACCGCGUCUCUCAUGUCAUGCUGGGGAUGACAACUUGGCUUAAGUGGUGUGAGGGAUAGGUUUGGCAUUUUUGGCACCGUUGCUAGAUUUAGAACUUAGUCUACUUUUAGUAAUGAUGUUAAGAAUACCCAACAAGCAUUUUUGGCGCCGUUGCCGGGGAAGGUUGAUUACUAAUCAGGAAUGGAAUAAAGGAUUUUGAGUUAUCAUUCGCAUCACUAAUAUGAUUGAGCUUAUCUAUUCUCUCAUACAGUUUUACCCCGAUAUUUUCUAUUUUUAUCUUAUGCAGGGGAAUGUAUGAAUAGAAGACAUCUUCCAGGAAAUUUUGUUGACAAUCCUGAAGCAUUAUUCAAGAAGACAAGAGCCAAGCUAAAGAAAUCAUCAACACUUCAGCAAGAAGCUUCAUCCAAUCAAGAAGAUCACCGGAACUUGUCUUCAGAGUUCGAAGCCAUGGCAAACAAAUCAAUCCGCGAGUUCUCAGCUCCCACUACGGACAACAUCCGCACUGGACCUGCUGCAGAGAUCGAUGGCAACUUUGAGCUCAAGCCUGGACUUAUCAACAUGGUGCAAUCCAACCAGUUCUGUGGGAAGGCACACGAAGAUGCUAGUGCUCAUUUACAACACUUCCUGGAGAUUUGCAACACAUUCACCAUACAAGGAGUUUCCAAAGAUGCUAUACUACUUCGCCUCUUCCCAUUCUCACUGUUAGGAAGAGCGAAGCAGUGGUUCUACGCUACAAAGGAGAAGAAUACUACCUGGGCACUCUGCUCAACAAACUUCCUGGCUAAGUUCUUUCCCAUGGGCAAGACCAAUGCUCUCCGUGGGAAGAUUACAAGUUUUCAGCAACAAAAUGAUGAAUCUGUUCCAGAAGCAUGGGAGCGCUUUCAAGACUACAUCCUAGAAUGUCCCCAUCAUGGAAUGGAGAGUUGGCUAUUGAUGCAGACGUUUUAUCAUGGGCUCGGCAACAGUGCCCGAGAAACCAUGGAUGCUGCAGCUGGAGGAGCAUUCUUAUCACUUACUAUACCACAAGCCACAGCUCUUGUGGAGAAGAUGGCGUCCAAUCAAAGCUGGAAUGAAGAGAGGAGCCAGACACGCAAGAGAGGUGGAGGUAUGCAUCAGCUGUAGGAGGUAGACAUGCUGUCUGCAAAGCUAGACCUGCUCAUGAAGAAGCUCGAUGAUAGAGCUGGAGACAAGAAAGAAGUUAUGCACAUCUACGACUCUCACAUGACUUGUGAGGAGUGUGGAGACACUAGACACUCAGGCAAUCACUGCCCUGAGAUACUUGAGGAUGUGAACUACAUCAACAACAACAACAACAACUACUACUACAACCGUCCUCAACAAAAUCAAGGUUGGAAUCAACAGAGGCCUAACUACUCAGGUAAUUAUCAAGGUAACAAUUCUUACAACAAUAACAAUAAUUUUCCACCUUUGAGAGAGUUAGUAUCUAAUCAAGGAAAGCUAAUGGAUAACCUAUCUAAGAAAUUGGCAUCUAAUGAUAAAAUGCUAGAAAAUAUAAAUAAUAGAAUGGAUAAUUUCUCUACUGCCAUCAAGAAUCAAAUUAGCUUUAAUAAAAUGAUUGAAUCUCAGUUAAAUCAAAUAGCUGCUGCUGUUCCAACUACUAACCCCGGUACACCAUCACAACCGGGAGGAUUAGAAUCUGCAAAUCUUGUAGACAUGUUUGAUGCAGGUAAUUGGAGUAACCCCGUCAAUGAAUUUUCUACUGACCUUCUGCCGGUCAAGAGAGGCGAUCCAGGACGCCCCGUCAUCCCGAUCUCCAUCGGCAUGGUGGACUUCCCAGAAGCACUCUGUGACUUUGGCUCCAGUGUCAACAUUAUACCUAGGGUACUCUAUGAAAAAUUCUUUACAUAUCCUUUACUAGAGACAACCAUGUGUUUGCAGUUUGCAGAUCAAACGAUAACUUUCCCAAAAGGAAUAGUGAGGAAUCUUUGUAUCCAAGUUGGUACCUUGUAUGCCCCAGCAGACUUCGUAGUGGUAGAGACCGGAAAUGAUGAGAGAGCACCUAUCAUCUUAGGGAGGCCAUUCUUGAAUACCACGGGAGCUAUCAUCUACGCCAGUGCUGCCAAGAUCAGUUUCUACGUCAAAGGGAAGAAGGAGACAUUUUUCUUCAAGAACAAGACUACACAAAUUCCAGAUCAAUCCAGACGUAAAUCAAGGAAGAGGACCAACAGGAGAAACAGGAACAAGCAAGUGUGGACCGAGUCAGCUAAGAUGGUCACUGUAGUUCAUGGAGGCCAAGAUCAUCAACUUAAGUCACCGUGUUUGACCAAGAAGGAUGACCCAGGAAUGCCCAGCAUUUACUGCUCCAUAAAUGGAUACAACUUCUACAAGACAUUUUGUGACACCGGAUCGGGCGUCAACAUAAUGGCCGCAGUCACCUAUCGGCUUUUGUUCGGAACCAUGCCUCUAAGACCAACAUACAUUCAGCUCCAGAUGGCAGAUCAGACAUUUCGAGAAGUUAAAGGAACAGUAACUGAUGUCCUAGUCAAAAUAGACGAUCACUUUGUCUACACAGACUUUCAAGUUGUUGACAUGGGAGAAGAUGAAUAUGAUCCACCCAUCAUCCUUGGAAGACCGUUCCUCAGCACCGUUAAAGCAAUUAUCUACAUUGGAACCGGAGAAGUCCAUAUGCACUUUCCGUCAGAGAAGGUACGUCGUUACUUUACUGACCCUAACUAUAUCGUUGAAGAAUCUAAGCAGGUAAGGAAAAGAUGCAACCGCAACCAGAGGAGGCAGAUCAUCAAGGACGGAUGGGCAGACUACGAAGGGGAAGUUAUAAGGUCAGAAGACGUAGAAUUUAAAUAGAAUUAUCCAGAGGAGAUUGAAGCACCAAGUCAGGUAUGGAAAAUGAAGAUAACUAUACAAGAAGAGGAGGCGCUGCCGGAAGUACCGACUACGCCACCCAACGAACCUCAGGACGAUUAAGAAAUUGGAGAGUCCCGUUCGGAGGACUUAAAAACACCGAACGCUUUGCCAAGAGUUCCACAAGCUUUGUUGUCUAUUUGAGCUCCACAGAAAUUUAAGAAUCAAGAAGACUGGCAGACGGAGGACAUUCUAAUCGCUGUCAGAAUGCUGCUGACUUUCAAAUACACCUCUACCACCUGCUAGCUACACCAAGAGAAAUUACGUCAAAAUUCAGCUUGGGGGAGAGCACCCCCAUUUAUCACGAUAAGUAUUUCUAUCUAUCUUUAUACUUAUAUUAUUUUAGAAUAUUAAAAUACACAUAAACUAUGGGAAAACCAAAUAAAGAUUUUAUGCUUAUAUAUAUAUCUUUUGCUUAGUGUGUUUAAUAAAUAAAUAAAGUGGCUAUGCUAAUCUGUAUCUAAAUAAAACUUAAGCAUGGAUAUGAUAAAUAGUUGCUCUGCCUAAUUUGCAAAUUUUAAGUUCUCUCUCAAGUUUAGAUAUAACUGUUAUAAUUUAAAGCUUGCUCUAGACCUAAACUUGUGGGAUGAAAACUUGAUCUGAAGUCUAAGUUGUUAACGGAUAUGAUAUGGGAAGGUUGAGCUGCUGUUUAUCUGUUCCUAGAGAUGCUAGAAUUCUGGAGAAUUUUAUCUUUGAAAAUCUUUAAAAUGUUGCAUGAUGAGUUCCUGUAUGAUGAGAGUUUAAAUUCCUACCACAGCCAUAUAUACAUGCUUUUUAGACUUUGAGCCACACAUUUAUUAUUUACUGCUUAUGAGCAUUGAGUGUGGUCAAGCUGUGUAGACCCUUAGGAGCUUGUCAUGUGGUUAAAUCAAGAUUCACUUGCACGUUCACUCAUAUAUAUGCUACUUCUACUCCGGAAGUACCAUCCACAUAUAUCCAUUCAUUUCCAUCUCCAGAACCACCUAAAAAUAUUCUACUCCUAAUCCAGGAGAGAAUAACCAAAAAUAUUUCUAUUUUCCCCUUGUGAAAUAAAUGCUCAAGUUAUCUUGUUACUACCACUUGCUCAAGAGAUGAGUGCUCUAAAAAAAAUAUACGAGGAAAUAAAAAGGAGCAAGUGCUCGGAACCUCGAAAGAAAAGAAAAAGUGAGACGAGAGGUAAAAAUGGACAAGUGUCCGACAGUAGAAUUAGGGGUGCAAGAUACCCACCUGAGAGACAAAAGAAAAAAAAAGAAAGAAGAAGAAGAGCAUCUCAUUCUCCUCAUAAAGUUUCAAAAGCAAGGAAGGUAUGUAUCCCCUCAAAAGAGCAAAAGUAGAAUUAGACUUCCACCACCAUUGUUUUCACCAUUAUUAUCACAAUCAUCACCAUACACCAUUCAUUCGCCACACAUGCACAUCUUGAUUUGGCUUAUUGAUUUGUUUCUUUGGAUCCAUGGUUUGACUAUGCAAUAAAUGUCUUGUAAAUAUGUAUACUUUAUCUCCCACCUAUGAGCUCCAGAUAUUAAAGCCUUAUUAGAGUAGGGUGAGAGAGAAGGCAAUGUCACUAUGCCUCAUACCACAAAUACUACAUAUCUUGAGAGAAGGCAUAUACCAUCAAUGCCUUGGUAAGGAUCCAAAAAUACCACAAAAGAGAGACCUGAGAGAAUCAUACAAGGAAUUUCUGAGUUUUAUUUGAAAAUCUGCAAAAACCCCCAGAGCUAUAGCUGAUCAAGAAUAAGAGACAUGACACUUGACUAGACUGUUCUAUCUUUUAACUACUCAAGACAGAAGUGACAGUUACAAGUCCCAUGGUGAAGGUAAAGUAAGUAAGUUUUAAGUCUUGACAGUUUACUCUUACUCAGAGAUGAGAUCUUAUUUAAAAGCAUAUGUACCGUCAAAUUUUUUAAAAAAAUAUUGCAACAACUUAUGAUCCAUAGCUGAGUCUAUCUUUGCUCAGGGACGAGCAAGAGGUAAGCUUGGGGGAGUUUGUUGACGGUCCUUAAGUAUCAAAUUUAAUUAUCAAAUAAAUAAAGAAAAGGAUCCAAAUGAAAUCAAGAUCUAGACUUAGGGUUUUAUCUGACAGAAUUCCACGAGUUUUGGUGUUUGUCUAUUUCUGCAGGGGGUUAUCAGGAAAUAUGGAAGAAAGGCCCACAUGUCAGGAUUAUGUAAAGAUAUUAACGUGCUGCGCAAUUAUCUUACAUCUAGAAGACUCCAGAAGCCACGAGACCGAAGCGGAGGCGAAACGGGGCCUGACCCUGGGCGGCCGCCCAGUUGGUCAGGGCACCCGCCCUGCCCCUGAGUCCAAUUAGGACUCUGCUUUGCGGGAGAUCUCCACCGACCUAAAGGAUGAAUCUAAACCGUACAAUCUAUGUCGGUUUGAUCCAAGGGCCCAUAUUCACUUGGAGGGACUAUAAAACCAGACCCCCUGGCCCCUGGAGGAGGGAGCCUCUCAACCCUAAUUCAUUGUUCCAUCAAGGGAGAAGAAGCCUCUGAUCAAGAUUAGAGCCACCACAUCAAUUAGAUAUCUAGAUUAGCAUAGCUACAUAGG
rnacentral:lncRNA from 1 species